AUCGCUUCUCGGCCUUUUGGCUAAGAUCAAGUGUAAUAACAUUCCACAACACAGAGGGACAGGUAAUAAGUUAGUGGAGGAAUUACAUUUCCAUGUAAUGAUACAAGAAAUGUUUAUAAUUUAUCUCCUGAAAUUUUGGCUCGCCAUAUGUUGCAGAAGCAGCUAUGGAUAUUUAUAUUUUGUUCUUAAAACUUUU